ACUCCUGCGGGAGGCAGCAGUGGGGAAUAUUGGACAAUGGGCGCAAGCCUGAUCCAGCCAUGCCGCGUGAGUGAUGAAGGCCCUAGGGUUGUAAAGCUCUUUCACCGGAGAAGAUAAUGACGGUAUCCGGAGAAGAAGCCCCGGCUAACUUCGUGCCAGCAGCCGCGGUAAUACGAAGGGGGCUAGCGUUGUUCGGAAUUACUGGGCGUAAAGCGCACGUAGGCGGAUCGAUCAGUCGGGGGUGAAAUCCCAGGGCUCAACCCUGGAACUGCCUUUGAUACUGUCGAUCUGGAGUAUGGAAGAGGUGAGUGGAAUUCCGAGUGUAGAGGUGAAAUUCGUAGAUAUUCGGAGGAACACCAGUGGCGAAGGCGGCUCACUGGUCCAUUACUGACGCUGAGGUGCGAAAGCGUGGGGAGCAAACAGGAUUAGAAACCCCAGUAGUCCCAU
rnacentral:rRNA from 1 species